UGCGUGCAUGUGUGUGUGUGUGUGAACUUAUGAAAAUAAUAUCUCUCAUACACACACACACACACACACACACACACACACACACACAUAU
rnacentral:miRNA from 1 species